AAUGAACGUUGGCGGCGUGGAUUAGGCAUGCAAGUCGUACGGGAGUAGCAAUACUCUAGUGGCGAAAGGGAUAGGACAAUAUAGAUCAUCUGCCCUUAGGACGUGGAUAUACGCGGGAAACUGCGGGUAAUACACGAUAAUCUCUACGGAGCAAAGGUGUGAUUCCGCCUGGGGAUGAGUCUAUAGCCUAUUAGUUAGUUGGCGGGGUAAUGGCCCACCAAGACUAUGAUGGGUACGAGGCGUGAGAGCGUGUCCUCGAUCACUGGGACUGAGACACUGCCCAGACACCUACGGGUGGCUGCAGUCGAGAAUCUUCGGCAAUGGACGAAAGUCUGACCGAGCGACGCCGCGUGAGCGAUGAAGGUCUUCGGAUUGUAAAGCUCUGUAAGUUGGGAGGAAAUGUAAGGGGGUUCUCCCCUUUACUUGACCUAUCUUCAAAGUAAGGACGGGCUAAGUUCGUGCCAGCAGCCGCGGUAAAAC
rnacentral:rRNA from 1 species